rnacentral:tRNA from 1 species
GCCUCAUUGGCUAAUUGGCAGAGCGUCUGUGUAGUAAACAGAACGGCGCUGGUUCGGUUCCAGCAUGACGGA